rnacentral:rRNA from 1 species
AGAACGUAGCAAAAUGCGAUACUUGGUGUGAAUUGCAGAAUCCCGUGAACCAUCGAGUCUUUGAACGGA